rnacentral:tRNA from 1 species
CGGGGAUUAGCUCAAUAGGUUAGAGCGCUUGGUUUGGGACCAAGAGGUUGUGAGUUCGAGUCCCACAUCCCCGA